CCAACAAGAUCUACCACCUGCGCCGCUGACAACAAGAUCUACCACCACUACCACCAACAAACCCACAACCACCACCAGACCCAAUAUACCUCUGCCACCGUCGGAUCCAACAAAGUCACCGCCACCAAACACCAUCGCCACGAGCACCACCACGGUCCUCACGCACCAACUGAAAACACACCCAAAACCCACAUCAACUAAAUCGCCAUGAGAACACAGUGGCGAACUAAAUCAACAAUGUGCACAAAAAUAACCACCAUCGCCAUGUUCACUGCGCACAGAUAGGUCCUCAAGACGACGACCCCGAUCUGCAAAGGUCAAUCACAUGUGACUAGAGAAAAAGUGAUAUACAAGCAAAACCUUCAAUUUGCAGCGCCAACCAUGGAGAAAAAUGGAAGAAAGGAGACUUGGUCUGCAGCCCCCAAAUAUAUAGCACCAUCGAUCUACAGCAUUGCAGGAGCAAUGACAGCCAUCGAUCUACAGCUUCACGUGCAACAAUCACUCAUAGCAACGCCGGCAUUCACUCCAUUGUGCUCACAUUACACUAUAUUUUUUGAGUUUUCUUCCUCUGCCAUGGUGGUAUCUAGUAGUGGGGAGAGAGAGAGAGACGGUAGUUUAGGGCUGGGAGUGAGUGGAAU
rnacentral:lncRNA from 1 species